rnacentral:rRNA from 1 species
GGAAGUAGCUUGCUACUUUGCCGGCGAGCGGCGGACGGGUGAGUAAUGUCUGGGAAACUGCCUGAUGGAGGGGGAUAACUACUGGAAACGGUAGCUAAUACCGCAUGACCUCGCAAGAGCAAAGUGGGGGACCUUCGGGCCUCACGCCAUCGGAUGUGCCCAGAUGGGAUUAGCUAGUAGGUGAGGUAAUGGCUCACCUAGGCGACGAUCCCUAGCUGGUCUGAGAGGAUGACCAGCCACACUGGAACUGAGACACGGUCCAGACUCCUACGGGAGGCAGCAGUGGGGAAUAUUGCACAAUGGGCGCAAGCCUGAUGCAGCCAUGCCGCGUGUGUGAAGAAGGCCUUAGGGUUGUAAAGCACUUUCAGCGAGGAGGAAGGGUUCAGUGUUAAUAGCACUGNACAUUGACGUUACUCGCAGAAGAAGCACCGGCUAACUCCGUGCCAGCAGCCGCGGUAAUACGGAGGGUGCAAGCGUUAAUCGGAAUUACUGGGCGUAAAGCGCACGCAGGCGGUUUGUUAAGUCAGAUGUGAAAU